rnacentral:lncRNA from 1 species
UUCUGUUUUGCAACCAAUUAGCAAGCAAGACUCAACUAAAUUAUUAAUUAUAAACAUGAAAUGUUCCUCUUCCUCACUCUUAUAGUUCUUUGGUGGAUAUAUAAACACACUCCAGAUGCAAUUCACAAAACACAUUGUUAAUUAGUCUAUUUUCAAGAAGGUACAAAACACACUCCAGAGCCUUUUGUUUAGACAAACAUGUCUAUUAGGAAAUGAAUUGUUGCAAAUAUCUAUGACUCUCACACUUCUCUUUAUCCCUAUUUAUGUUUAUGUGCAUUUCAACUUCAACAUGUGUAGAACAGUUAUAUUUGUAUUAUAAGGCAGCUAGGGAUGGGUUUGAUUUGACAAGUUGCGAAGUAAGAAAACGAGGAAGCACAAGUGAAUUUGUGUGUUUGAACUACGUAC